rnacentral:rRNA from 2 species
AAAGAAACCAACAGGGAUUGCCCCAGUAACGGCGAGUGAAGCGGCAACAGCUCAAAUUUGAAAUCUGGCCCUAGGCCCGAGUUGUAAUUUGCAGAGGAUGCUUUGGGCGCGGUGCCUUCCGAGUUCCCUGGAACGGGACGCCAUAGAGGGUGAGAGCCCCGUCUGGUCGGACACCAAGCCUAUGUAAAGCUCCUUCGACGAGUCGAGUAGUUUGGGAAUGCUGCUCAAAAUGGGAGGUAUAUGUCUUCUAAAGCUAAAUACCGGCCAGAGACCGAUAGCGCACAAGUAGAGUGAUCGAAAGAUGAAAAGCACUUUGAAAAGAGAGUUAAACAGCACGUGAAAUUGUUGAAAGGGAAGCGUUCAUGACCAGACUUGGCCCGGUUGAUCAUCCAGCGUUCUCGCUGGUGCACUCUGCCGGUCCAGGCCAGCAUCAGUUCGCCGCGGGGGAUAAAGGUUUCGGGAAUGUGGCUCCCUCGGGAGUGUUAUAGCCCGUUGCGUAAUACCCUGCGGUGGACUGAGGUCCGCGCUCUGCAAGGAUGCUGGCGUAAUGGUCAUCAACGACCCGUCUUGAAACACGGACCAAGGAGUCGUCUUCGUAUGCGAGUGUUCGGGUGUAAAACCCCUACGCGUAAUGAAAGUGAACGGAGGUGGGAGCUUCGGCGCACCAUCGACCGAUCCUGAUGUUCUCGGAUGGAUUUGAGUAAGAGCAUACGGGGCCGGACCCGAAAGAAGGUGAACUAUGCCUGUAUAGGGUGAAGCCAGAGGAAACUCUGGUGGAGGCUCGCAGCGGUUCUGACGUGCAAAUCGAUCGUCAAAUAUGGGCAUGGGGGCGAAAGACUAAUCGAACCUUCUAGUAGCUGGUUUCCGCCGAAGUUUCCCUCAGGAUAGCAGUGUUGAACUCAGUUUUAUGAGGUAAAGCGAAUGAUUAGGGACCCGAGGGGCGCUAUUUUGCCUUCAUCCAUUCUCAAACUUUAAAUAUGUAAGAAGCCCUUGUUGCUUAAUUGAACGUGGGCAUUCGAAUGUAUCAAC